rnacentral:rRNA from 1 species
AAAUUGAAGAGUUUGAUCAUGGCUCAGAUUGAACGCUGGCGGCAGGCCUAACACAUGCAAGUCGAACGGUAACAGAAAGCAGCUUGCUGCUUUGCUGACGAGUGGCGGACGGGUGAGUAAUGUCUGGGAAACUGCCUGAUGGAGGGGGAUAACUACUGGAAACGGUAGCUAAUACCGCAUAAUGUCGCAAGACCAAAGAGGGGGACCUUCGGGCCUCUUGCCAUCGGAUGUGCCCAGAUGGGAUUAGCUAGUAGGUGGGGUAACGGCUCACCUAGGCGACGAUCCCUAGCUGGUCUGAGAGGAUGACCAGCCACACUGGAACUGAGACACGGUCCAGACUCCUACGGGAGGCAGCAGUGGGGAAUAUUGCACAAUGGGCGCAAGCCUGAUGCAGCCAUGCCGCGUGUAUGAAGAAGGCCUUCGGGUUGUAAAGUACUUUCAGCGGGGAGGAAGGGAGUAAAGUUAAUACCU